rnacentral:rRNA from 1 species
UACAGGGGGGGCAAGCGUUGUUCGGAAUUACUGGGCGUAAAGCGUGCGUAGGCGGUUUGUUAAGUCUGUCGUGAAAGCCCUGGGCUCAACCUGGGAAUUGCGAUGGAUACUGGCAAGCUAGAGUACGGUAGAGGAUGGUGGAAUUCCCGGUGUAGCGGUGAAAUGCGUAGAGAUCGGGAGGAACACCCGUGGCGAAGGCGGCCAUCUGGACCAGUACUGACGCUGGGGCACGAAAGCGUGGGGAGCAAACAGG